UAUUUUUUUGAAGGAAAAGGUGUUUCACAGAAAGUCGAUUUCGCAUUGUGGGGAUGUAGGGAAUCUAUGGGAAGGGAGGAUGGAAGGGGUUAGGGUAGGUGUGGGAGGAGGAUCACUGCUCUGUGAUGCAGGUGUUGGUUACUGGUGCCCUCUUCCAAGUGUUGUUCCUUGGAAGCCUGCCAAGUCCGCAGUAGGGGUGAGCUGUACUUGCCACAUCCUUUAUGUUGGUUUAUUGCUAUGAUCUAGAAUCGAGACAUCAAUUUACUUUUAUGUACUAUAUUUAUUUAUAAUUGUUUCCUUCAAUUUUCCAUCAUAUAUUUACAGUUUGUGUAUGAUGUUAUGGGGGAGGGUUUGUACUUAUGUGUUUGUGUGUUUGUGUAACUCGUAUCACGUCCCUCGUAAUCAGAGCGUGUCGGCGCGAGGAGGUGUGACCUGACUUCUGUUUGAAAUUAUCAGUUUUACUGUCGCCUUGCGGGCGGAUCGGAGGCUGUUCACGCAUGACUGAUCACAGCACACAUGAUUGGCAUAGCUACACGCGACUUGUGGAAUGCAAGUCAUCUAUGCAGCUACACAAGGCUCAGAGGUAUAGACUAGACUCUGUUUGCUGAAGGUGUGAAGGAAAUAAGGUUUUUCCACAGGACACUACCUCAGAAUACUCGUCGGUUCUUAGUACUGGAGCAUUCAAUAAGUGGUAAGUCCUCUGAAACUGGUUGUCUGGGAUGGGAAGCGAGGUCGAGGAGGCUCUGAUUGUGUCCUUUACCUUCUUGACGGAUGACGAUGAUGCUCCCGUAAGAGUGCGUCUGCUGGGCCAGAGUCG